AGCAGUCGCCGCGGGAAUACGAAGGGUGCAAGCGUUACUCGGAAUUACUGGGCGUAAAGCGUGCGUAGGUGGUGGUUUAAGUCCGUUGUGAAAGCCCUGGGUUCAACCUGGGAAUUGCAGUGGAUACUGGAUCACUAGAGCGUGGUAGAGGAUAGUGGAAUUUCCGGUGUAGCAGUGAAAUGCGUAGAGAUCGGAAGGAACAUCUGUGGCGAAGGCGACUAUCUGGGCCAACACUGACACUGAGGCACGAAAGCGUGGGGAGCAAACAGGAUUAGAUACCCCCGUAGUCCCUGUCUCUUAUAA
rnacentral:rRNA from 1 species